GACGAACGCUGGCGGCGUGCUUAACACAUGCAAGUCGAACGGAAAGGCCCUGCUUUUGUGGGGUGCUCGAGUGGCGAACGGGUGAGUAACACGUGAGUAACCUGCCCUUGACUUUGGGAUAACUUCAGGAAACUGGGGCUAAUACCGGAUAGGAGCUCCUGCUGCAUGGUGGGGGGUGGAAAGUUUCGGCGGUUGGGGAUGGGCUUGCGGCUUAUCAGCUUGUGGGUGGGGUAGUGGCUUACCAAGGCUUUGACGGGUAGCCGGCCUGCGAGGGUGACCGGGCACAUUGGGACUGCGGUACGGCCCAGAGUGCAACUGGCGGCAGCAGUGGGAAAUAUUGCACAAUGGGCCGAAGCCUGAUGCAGCGACGCCGCGUUCGGAAUGACGGCCUUCGGGUUGUAAACCGCUUUCGCCUGUGACGAAGCGGGAGUGACGGUAAUGGGUAAAGAAGCACCGGCUAACUACGUG
rnacentral:rRNA from 1 species